rnacentral:rRNA from 1 species
AGUCGAGCGGAAGUUGAGAGCUUGCUCUUCACUUCAGCGGCGGACGGGUGAGUAACACGUGGGCAACCUGCCCUGCAGAUCGGGAUAACUCCGGGAAACCGGUGCCAAUACCGAAUAGUUUGUCCUCCCUCCUGGGAGGAUACGGAAAGACGGUUUCGGCUGUCACUGCAGGAUGGGCCCGCGGCGCAUUAGCUAGUUGGUGGGGUAACGGCCCACCAAGGCCACGAUGCGUAGCCGACCUGAGAGGGUGAUCGGCCACACUGGGACUGAGACACGGCCCAGACUCCUACGGGAGGCAGCAGUAGGGAAUCUUCCGCAAUGGACGCAAGUCUGACGGAGCAACGCCGCGUGAGUGAUGAAGGUUUUCGGAUCGUAAAACUCUGUUGCGAGGGAAGAAACCGUGCCAGCUAACUACUGGCACCUUGACGGUACCUCGCCAGAAAGCCACGGCUAACUACGUGCCAGCAGCCGCGGUAAUACGUAGGUGGCAAGCGUUGUCCGGAAUUAUUGGGCGUAAAGCGCGCGCAGGCGGUCCCUUAAGUCUGAUGUGAAAGCCCACGGCUCAACCGUGGAGGGUCAUUGGAAACUGGGGGACUUGAGUGCAGAAGAGGAAAGUGGAAUUCCAUGUGUAGCGGUGAAAUGCGUAGAGAUGUGGAGGAACACCAGUGGCGAAGGCGACUUUCUGGUCUGUAACUGACGCUGAGGCGCGAAAGCGUGGGGAGCGAACAGGAUUAGAUACCCUGGUAGUCCACGCCGUANACGAUGAGUGCCAAGUGUUAGNGGGUUUCCGCCCCUUAGUGCUGCAGCUAACGCAUUAAGCACUCCG